AUUGAACGCUGGCGGAAUGCCUUACACAUGCAAGUCGAACGGCAGCACGGGUGCUUGCACCUGGCGGCGAGUGGCGAACGGGUGAGUAAUGCACCGGAACGUAUCCAAUAAUGGGGGAUAACGCACCGAAAGGUGUGCUAAUACCGCAUACGCCCUGAGGGGGAAAGCGGGGGAUCGUAAGACCUCGCGUUAUACGAGCGGCCGAUGUCGGAUUAGCUAGUUGGUGGGGUAAAGGCCUACCAAGGCGACGAUCCGUAGCGGGUCUGAGAGGAUGAUCCGCCACACUGGGACUGAGACACGGCCCAGACUCCUACGGGAGGCAGCAGUGGGGAAUUUUGGACAAUGGGCGCAACCGCUGAUCCAGCCAUGCCGCGUGAGUGAAGAAGGCCUUC
rnacentral:rRNA from 1 species